GGUCCCCACUGCUCCUCCAUGGAUGGGAACAGUCUCCUGUAAUUUUGGUUUCAUUAACACAGUAUUUUCUCAUCUUGGCAGGAAGGUGGGGAGGGAAUUUUCCUCUGAGACACUUGCAAGGCAAAGGGACAAGAGCCCAUGAUGUCUUUGUUCUGCGCAACCCAUGCAUGGUUAACCAAGUUGCUCCACCCCCACGGGAGUUGAGACCCAACAGGGAGCUGCAGGCCUCUGACUCAUCUUUGCCGAGACCUUCGGGUUUCCUGAAGUCCCAGCUGCUCCAGAUGUGUGCCUCAGUCACUACUCAACUCCCCGAGUGGAGGCUGAGAGAUAUCUAUUACAAAGCCAUUCUAGUACAGCUGUCCUCCUUUACCCAUGCUGUCAAUUAAAGUACUAAAAUGUUAAAUGGAAA